rnacentral:rRNA from 1 species
AACGAACGCUGGCGGCAUGCCUAACACAUGCAAGUCGAACGAGACCUUCGGGUCUAGUGGCGCACGGGUGCGUAACGCGUGGGAACCUGCCCUUAGGUUCGGAAUAACUCCCCGAAAGGGGUGCUAAUACCGGAUAAUGUCUUCGGACCAAAGAUUUAUCGCCUUUGGAUGGGCCCGCGUUGGAUUAGCUAGUUGGUAGGGUAAAAGCCUACCAAGGCGACGAUCCAUAGCUGGUCUGAGAGGAUGAUCAGCCACACUGGGACUGAGACACGGCCCAGACUCCUCCGGGAGGCAGCAGUGGGGAAUAUUGGACAAUGGGCGAAAGCCUGAUCCAGCAAUGCCGCGUGAGUGAUGAAGGCCUUGGGUUGUAAAGCUCUUUUACCCGGGAUGAUAAUGACAGUACCGGGAGAAUAAGCUCCGGCUAACUCCGUG